ACGCUAUCACUCCUACGGGAGGCAGCAGUGAGGAAUAUUGGACAAUGGACGCAAGUCUGAUCCAGCCAUGCCGCGUGCAGGAAGACUGCCCUAUGGGUUGUAAACUGCUUUUAUUUGGGAAUAAACCCCUCUACGUGUAGAGGGCUGAAGGUACCAAAUGAAUAAGCACCGGCUAACUCCGUGCCAGCAGCCGCGGUAAUACGGAGGGUGCAAGCGUUAUCCGGAAUCAUUGGGUUUAAAGGGUCCGCAGGCGGACGUAUAAGUCAGUGGUGAAAGCCUACAGCUUAACUGUAGAACUGCCAUUGAUACUGUAUGUCUUGAAUUCGGUCGAAGUGGGCGGAAUGUGUCAUGUAGCGGUGAAAUGCAUAGAUAUGACACAGAACACCGAUAGCGAAGGCAGCUCACUAGGCCUGAAUUGACGCUCGAGGGACAGAAGCGUGGGGAGCGAACAGGAUUAGAUACCCUGGUAG
rnacentral:rRNA from 1 species